CGGGAUAGCUCAGCUGGUAGAGC
rnacentral:tRNA from 2 species